GAUGAACGCUGGCGGCGUGCCUAAUACAUGCAAGUCGAGCGAACGGACGAGAAGCUUGCUUCUCUGAUGUUAGCGGCGGACGGGUGAGUAACACGUGGAUAACCUACCUAUAAGACUGGGAUAACUUCGGGAAACCGGAGCUAAUACCGGAUAAUAUUUUGAACCGCAUGGUUCAAAAGUGAGAGACGGUCUUGCUGUCACUUAUAGAUGGAUCCGCGCUGCAUUAGCUAGUUGGUAAGGUAACGGCUUACCAAGGCAACGAUGCAUAGCCGACCUGAGAGGGUGAUCGGCCACACUGGAACUGAGACACGGUCCAGACUCCUACGGGAGGCAGCAGUAGGGAAUCUUCCGCAAUGGGCGAAAGCCUGACGGAGCAACGCCGCGUGAGUGAUGAAGGUCUUCGGAUCGUAAAACUCUGUUAUUAGGGAAGAACAUAUGUGUAAGUAACUGUGCACAUCUUGACGGUACCUAAUCAGAAAGCCACGGCUAACUACGU
rnacentral:rRNA from 1 species